GGGGAUGUGGCUCAGCGGUAGAGCGCUUGCCUAGGAAGCACAAGGCCCUGGGUUCGGUCCCCAGCUCCG
rnacentral:tRNA from 1 species